GUAACCAUCCUGGCUGCGAGUCUUUCGUUGUGAGGCAGGCAUGGAGAUGGAAGGGUCUUCUGUGGAGCAAACUGGCAGGAAACCACAAGGAAGCAACAGGUCUCUAUGUAAAGUACGAGUUGGUCCCUCUUUGUGUUCAGGUUGUACAGUGUAAACUGGUACAUUUUCAGCUCUGUCAACAACUUUGUACACCCCUGGUUCCCAUCUAUCUGCCAGCUUGUGCUUACCCCUCAGACGGAUGUUGCGAACCAGUACUCGAUCUCCUAUCUCCAAACUGCAUGGUGUAAUUUUCUGAUCAAAACGGGUCUUGUUCUUUGCAGCUGAUUUGAGGGCAUUCUCAGAAGCUAGUUUGUAGCUUUCUUUCAGGCUGGAUUGCAGAUUCUUAACAUACUCUGAAUGAGAGAUGGAUGAUUGUUCUCUGACGGGUAAACCAAAAGCCAAAUCCACAGGAAGACGAGGACAACGACCAAACAUGAGUUCAUAAGGGUUCCAAGCAUAUUGAGCAGAGUGCGGUUGAAGCGCUCGACUGGAUUCCCUCGGGGGUGGUACGGGGUAGUUCGGCUUUUCUUCAUGCCUACAACUGCACAGAGCUCUUUAAUGAGCUUGGACUCGAAAUCUGUACCCUGGUCUGAAUGUAUACGCUCUGGAAUUCCAUAAUAAACCAUAAAUUCAUUCCAGA